rnacentral:rRNA from 1 species
UACGUAGGUGGCGAGCGUUGUCCGGAUUUACUGGGCGUAAAGGGAGCGUAGGCGGACUUUUAAGUGAGAUGUGAAAUACCCGGGCUCAACUUGGGUGCUGCAUUUCAAACUGGAAGUCUAGAGUGCAGGAGAGGAUAAUGGAAUUCCUAGUGUAGCGGUGAAAUGCGUAGAGAUUAGGAAGAACACCAGUGGCGAAGGCGAUUCUCUGGACUGUAACUGACGCUGAGGAGCGAAAGCAUGGGUAGCGAACAGGAUUAGAUACCCU